AUACCUUUCUCGGCCUUUUGGCUAAGAUCAAGUGUAGUAUCUGUUCUUAUCAGUUUAAUAUCUGAUACGUGGGCCAAUGGCCCACAACGAUAUUAAAUUUAUUUUUUAAGGGGGAAGUUCCACAACUUUAGCUUGCUAUUGGGAACUUCGAGUGUCGCCCAUGCGUAGCACUACUGCACGGGCCUGGCGCACCCCAC
rfam:Beta vulgaris subsp. vulgaris Bvchr5.sca023.con0191.1, whole genome shotgun sequence.